GUUGAAACAGUGGUUCGCAUAUGAUCACUGAAGUUAAGCAAUGUUGAGCUUUGUCAGUACCUAGAUGGGUGACUACUUGGGAAUACCAGAUGCU